AUAACUACAAGCAGUUUAUAUUCAUUCAACUUGUUGAAGCAGUCAGACUGCGUCUGGGAUAGAGACAGGAAUGGGAAUCCUCUACAGGGGACAUGAUUUUUAAGAUGAAGAAUAUCAUUUGCAUGGACUUUUUUGGUAGUAUGGAUUAAACAAUUGACACUUUCACACUGUUUAAAAUGGCAAGUGCAGACAGUGAAGUGAAAACGUUACUGAACUUUGUAAACUUGGCAUCCAGUGACAUCAAAGCAGCUCUAGACAAAUCAGCCCCUUGCAGGCGCUCUGUGGACCACAGGAAAUACCUGCAGAAACAGCUCAAGCGUUUUUCUCAGAAAUACUCUCGGAUGCCCAGAUGCCACACACACAGGUCCGCGGAGUCUGGCAUCGUCAAAGCCCUGGUGGACAAAUCUAGCGCGUAUUCUUUGGAGACAAUUCACCAGAGCAUGACGCCCAUCAAUGAAAAAGGAGGUUCGGGUGCGCAAGACGAGGUGAACGUAAGGAUGGGUCAGAACCCAAUUGCAGACAGUGCUAACAGCAAGCAAGAUCAGGUACCCAUGAGGAAACGUCAACUCCCUGCAUCGUUUUGGGAGGAACCCCGGUUAGCCCAAACCAAUACAGAACCUUCACUGUAUGGAUUGAACAAGAGCCAAGGUGUGACCCGAAUCAAUAGGGUUGAAAAAAAAAUCAAAAAUCACCAGGAACCAAAACCGACCUUGUUUCAAUCCAAUCGACUUGGCUCUAUCGAAAAAGAACCGCUCAACGUGGACUUGGUCUCUCACAAUGUCAGUGUGUGCGGUUGCUGUCCGUUUCAGUACCAUGGACACCACGUCUUCCAGAGUCACAUAGUUGUUCCCCACUCAACUGUGGGACUCUGGGGAAAAGCCUCAGUGGCUGAAAUUGAAACGCCUGAUAUGGCACACGGACAUAAUAACCAAACGCAUGUCGUGGUCAAACCCAUACCGACCAAACCCACGGUCCCCUCAUCGAUCUUCAGCGUGUUUGGCUUCAUUUAAACACAAUUAUGCACGUAUAAAUACAUUUUAAAUAGGCAAUUCUUCAUUUAAAUAAGCAACAAUGAAGAUGUAAAUAUGAAUUAGUUGACUUUGCAAUGCCAUAUGUUUUUAUUUAAAACUUGGUAUUUCUCUUUUUUUUAAGAGUAGUCAGUCAUUGGCACUUAAGUCUUUCAGACCAAAUAGGCUAUUUCUGCUCGGAAGACCUGCAACGUUAGCCUACCUACCACUUGGCUUCCAUAGAAUCUAAGAAGAAUUCAUGAUAAAAUCAUAGCACUGUAUAAAACUGAAAAAUGUAGACUAUACUUCAUCAUCCUUCUCUCUAAUUCUAUACUUUACAUGUGUUGGUAUAGGAUUGGAGUGACAUUCGAAGUUGUCCAUUCUUUGAUUAUUUGUGAUCAGCUAUGCUGAAGGAAAGGUCUGCUUGUGUGUUGAUUACUUCAUGGUGUUUGUGUAGGCUAUAUAUUUCUAAAAUACACUGAUUUAAAAACUAAUUGAUCGAAAUGACUUGUUGUAGUUCACUGAUAUUUUUCCACAAAAGGUAAACAGACUGACAGUGACGUUUCCCCCCCAGAAUUUCUGGAUAUUUUCUGUUUGUAAAUAAUACUUGUUAAAUGGAGAAUUUACAUUUAUUUUUUUAAAUAAAAUGCAGAUGUUUCGA